rnacentral:lncRNA from 1 species
AUGGCUGGGAGAGAGGAGGAAUAUACUGCAAUAGCUGAUGCUGCACAGUCGCUAAUAUCAUUGAUUUCGAGAAGACAGCAACAACCCGAAGGCAGUGGUCAAGGAGGAAGAGGGCAACCACCUCGAAGGUUGCAGUCAGAUGGACACAACACCCCAAGUACAUCAGUUGGAACAAGUCAGCUACCGACGAUCCAAAAUGAAAUGCAGAGGUCAUUUCCAGGUUAUUUUCGUCGUGAAAUGAUUCGCUCCAAGAAACGCCCUGCUGCUCUAUCCAAAAUAUCUCCAGCGAUAGCCAUAAAAUAUGUCAGGCUUCAGUUUUUGUUGCUGUCUAGUCCGACUGAUCGCACACCAAAGCCAUCUGAAGAAAUCAAACUCCUCGAGGCAGGCUUGGGGAAAAGAACCAUGACAGUGGCUGAUAACUCUUGCCAUGAGGAGGUAAUCUAGAUUUGAUGUGUUUUUGUUGCGUCACAAGUGUUUAACUCUUCUAUUCUAACAUCAAUUUGCAAUUUGCUAAUCACUAUUUCAGUUAAAUGGUUAUUGCUUCAUUAUAACCUUUUUAAAGACCCCCUACACUCACGUUAAAAUUCUGCUGUGGUUAAUAUUUGUUUUACAUGGUUUUCCCACAUACAGUGUUCUAAAAACUUCUGAAAAGGGUCUGGAAGCACAUCUACUCUUUCUCCCUCAUUUAGAAAUUCUGGAUCUAUGAAUUUUCAAAUAUGUAAAUAGAACCACUGCUUGCAUGGGACUUGUGACAAAACUUGUACACAUACAAGUAUAUUCUAAUGUUGUUGUUAUUAAUGCAGAUCCAAGGUACAUAAAAAGUUUAGUUUCAAGUCUCAAGGUGUGAGAAAAAAGGAAAACAAGAAAAGUCUGUGCUUGCUGCAACUUAAAAAAGUAGAUAGUAGAGGUAUUUUAAGCAAUAUUUGAUGUAGUAGAUAAGUACUUGAAGUAGAUCUGGAACAAGUAGUAGCACAAAGGUUCUCAGUACUUGAGGCAGUGCUGUAAGUAGUAGUAGUAUAAUGGGUUAAAAUACUUAAAGUAAAGGAACAAAUUUAAUUGUUUAAUUGACAGGGACAAAUGCAUGACACAUUGCUUCAUAAUACAGGCAACUUAAUUCAGAAAUGGUUGAAUGAAGUCUUCAUGUUGUAGUUCGCUUAAACAGUGUAAAAGUAGUUGGGUAACGAAAUUUAGAUGGAAGAAUAAUAUAGAAAUAAUUCUUGCUUUGAUAAAGUAAGGGCGCUAUAUAUACAAACCUUUUGAGUGAUUCAUGCAACAGUUUAAGUGCAGUUGCAUAUUUAAUUAAAUUUACUCUUACACUAAGCAUCACUGCUUUUCAUGUGAAAUCUUUGUUUAGAUUGUCUGUCAACUUGAAGAGCAGUACCCCAAGUUGAAGCAGUUGUCCGGAGGCUGGCUAUGUUAUAAAUCAACAGGUCAGUUAUAGUGAGUGUAGGAUAAGGAAACCUGCUGGAGCUUUUAACCCACUGAAUGAAUUUGAAGUCAUGCUUUAGAACAACCAGUUUUGGACAUGAAGCAUAGUCUCCCCAGUGUUUUAUCUGCAAGUUUAAACAGUUAUGGUGGUUUGUGUUUGAUACUGUUUUUUAAUAGUAUUUGUCUUGUAUAGUAAAUACUUUAUUAGUAAAGCAAUGUUAUUUGGCAUCUCAUAGUUGUAAAAACAGUAAAGUAAGUUAUUAUGUAUUUGCUUUGUGUAUUUUUUGAUUACAAGGUGGUCAAGGACAGAGAAAAUUGAUAGUUGUCGCUACAGAGUCUGAGGGCUACACUGGACGACUCCUUAAAACGGUCACAAAUAAUGGCAAACUAAUUCUGUACAUUGUCCCACUACAAGAGGAGCUAGAUGCAAGCCCCCUCCCCCACAAUGCUCCAGAAUUUUCCAAAAUGCCAAAAUCCUCAUGCAAAAACUGUGGAGUUGUUAUGCCUUUACAGUUCCUGGCUCUGCACAUCAAAUCUUGUAAUGCUGAAAUUGUAAGUAACACUCACAUUAUUCAGUAUGUUAAAGAAUGAAGUGUGGUUCAUUACCUUUCAAAUUCCACUUCAGAAUCUUUUUUUGUCUGUUCCAAACCCAAACCUUCUACCUAAAAUGAAUUUUGUUUCCCAAUUCACAGAGCAGUGAUGAGCCUGAAAUUGUCAGUAUUGAAGAGAAAGAAGUCAAUACUACAGUUGAGUAUUACAUUUUUUCAAUAUACCCAACUUCUGAAUGUCUUUCGAGAUGUAAUUACAAUGUUUUUAAUGUAUUUAGUUUAUUUAAAACAUAAUAAUAAUACUUAAAAUUAAUAAUAAAAAUCUGUACAUUUCUCUGUUUCUGUAUUUAGGAAGUAUGCCCAAUAUGUGAAAACCAAUUUCCCAGAGAGGAUAUUGCAUACCAUGCCAGCUUUUGUGGAGAUGGGUAUUAAUCAAUUUGCAUUCAUCAUGUCUUACAUUUCACUAACGUGAUGUUUUUACAGUUUUAAUUACAAUUGAGGUUCUCAUGGUAUAUCUAAACAUGUUUAGAUUUCCAGCAGACACCUUGAUGCCAUUACUUGAAGAUGAUGCCAGAGAGGGGACUUCAAGCACAAUUGAUCUCUUGCCUCAUGGUUCCAGGACUACAGAACAAAGCACCAGUCCCACAUUCAUCAUGUCUUACAUUUCACUAACGUGAUGUUUUUACAGUUUUAAUUACAAUUGAGGUUCUCAUGGUAUAUCUAAACAUGUUUAGAUUUCCAGCAGACACCUUGAUGCCAUUACUUGAAGAUGAUGCCAGAGAGGGGACUUCAAGCACAAUUGAUCUCUUGCCUCAUGGUUCCAGGACUACAGAACAAAGCACCAGUCCCACUGGUGUAGUCAAUGACAUGGCCGGACCAUCAACUAUGCUUGCUGAUCCCACUGUCCCAGGUGCCAGUCAAGAGCAUAAGCUUUUAACAGAGCUCACAAACACAAGAAUAUAUUUAGUUUUAUUCUGCAUUAUAUUCCUAUUGUUUCUGUGCUUUCUUCCUGUGUU